rnacentral:rRNA from 1 species
GGCCCUCUCGGGGGCCUGGGUACACCCACCAUCCUCAUCUCUCCACCUGUGGACCUCUUGCAGACCUGGAUUGGCUUGGGGAGGCAACUCGGCCGGCAMGAGUGCUGCGCUCUGUGAACCANCUUUCUUUGCAUGGCAAGGCCUAKGUUUUUCAUACACCCCUAUAGAAUGGAACAAAAUGUAUCAUUGGGCCUUGUGCCGAUAAACCUUAUACAACUUACAGCAACGGAUCUCUUGGCUCUCGGAUCAAUGAAGAACUCAAAGAAAUGCGAUAACUAAUGACAAUUGUAGAAUCCCUUGGAUCAUCCAAUCUUUGAGCCCACCUUGCGCUCCUUGACAUCCCAAGUAGCAUGCCUGUUUGAGUGUCAUUUGAUUCUUGCCUUAUUAACUUUUGUUGAUAAUCAAUUGCAUUGAGUGGUUUCUUUGCUGGCUUCUUSGAUAUAUCAGCUCCCCUUACUUGCUUUAACUGGUGCCACGCGUGGACCAUCCAUUGGUGUGGGAAUUAUCUACSCCCUGAAUGUCGGCAACCAUAUGGGAUUCCCACUGCUUCUAACCGUCUGCUCAUUCSGASUAUACCURACAAUUUGACCUCACCUYAUGUAUGACUAGACGA